rnacentral:rRNA from 1 species
GACGAACGCUGGCGGCGUGCUUAACACAUGCAAGUCGAACGGAAAGGCCCUGCUUUUGUGGGGUGCUCGAGUGGCGAACGGGUGAGUAACACGUGAGUAACCUGCCCUUGACUUUGGGAUAACUUCAGGAAACUGGGGCUAAUAACGGAUAGGAGCUCCUGCUGCAUGGUGGGGGUUGGAAAGGUUCGGCGGUUGGGGAUGGACUCGCGGCUUAUCAGCUUGUUGGUGGGGUAGUGGCUUACCAAGGCUUUGACGGGUAGCCGGCCUGAGAGGGUGACCGGCCACAUUGGGACUGAGAUACGGCCCAGACUCCUACGGGAGGCAGCAGUGGGGAAUAUUGCACAAUGGGCGGAAGCCUGAUGCAGCAACGCCGCGUGCGGGAUGACGGCCUUCGGGUUGUAAACCGCUUUCGCCUGUGACGAAGCGUGAGUGACGGUAAUGGGUAAAGAAGCACCGGCUAACUACGUG